GAUGAACGCUGGUGGCGUGCCUAAUACAUGCAAGUCGAGCGAACGGACGAGAAGCUUGCUUCUCUGAUGUUAGCGGCGGACGGGUGAGUAACACGUGGAUAACCUACCUAUAAGACUGGGAUAACUUCGGGAAACCGGAGCUAAUACCGGAUAAUAUUUUGAACCGCAUGGUUCAAAAGUGAAAGACGGUCUUGCUGUCACUUAUAGAUGGAUCCGCGCUGCAUUAGCUAGUUGGUAAGGUAACGGCUUACCAAGGCAACGAUGCAUAGCCGACCUGAGAGGGUGAUCGGCCACACUGGAGCUGAGACACGGUCCAGACUCCUACGGGAGGCAGCAGUAGGGAAUCUUCCGCAAUGGGCGAAAGCCUGACGGAGCAACGCCGCGUGAGUGAUGAAGGUCUUCGGAUCGUAAAACUCUGUUAUUAGGGAAGAACAUAUGUGUAAGUAACUGUGCACAUCUUGACGGUACCUAAUCAGAAAGCCACGGCUAACUACGUG
rnacentral:rRNA from 1 species